rnacentral:lncRNA from 1 species
UUAGUUACUUGAAAAUGGUUAAGUGUAGGUACUUUAGAGGUGAUAUAUUUGUUUAGAAUGUAGUUUAAAUGGUUGCUUAGUUACUUGAAAAUAGUUAAGUGUAGGGACUUUAGAGGUGAUUUUUUUCUUUAGAAAGUUACUUGGUUGGUGACUUUAUUAGUUGAAAAUAGUUAAGUGUAGAAACUUUAGAGGUCACUUUUAUGUUUAGAAUGUGAUUUGAUUGGUGGAUUAGUUACUUG